AUGCGGGUGAUUGCGUAUGGGGCUCCGGCUGAUUAUGCUGAUGAGUAUCUUCGCAUUGGUGAAGAUACAACAAUUGAGUCGGUGCGUAGAUUUGCCAAAGUGAUCGUCGGUGUCUUUGGUCCCGAAUAUCUUCAGGCACCGAGCGAGGAUGACACAAAUAAAUUGAUGGCAUCUAAUGAGAGGAGAGGGUGGCCUGGCAUGCUAGGUAGCAUUGAUUGUAUGCAUUGGACAUGGAAAAAUUGUUCGAAGGCAUGGCAAGGAAUGUAUUGUGGCAAGUCUCGUGAUGCCACAGUCGCGCUAGAGACCGUAGCGUCCGAGGAUUUAUGGAUUUGGCAUUGCUUCUUUGGUAUGUCGGGCACUCUCAAUGAUAUCAAUGUGUUGCAACGGUCUCAUUUGUUUGCUAGACUUGCUAGUGGUGAUGAUCCUUCUUGCAACUACACAAUCAAUGGCCAUGAAUACACAAGUGAGUACUACCUUGCUGAUGGUAUAUACCCUCCUUGGUGCACAUUUGUCAAGAGCAUCAAAAAACCAAAAACUAAAAAACAAUGUGAGUUUGCAAGAGUGCAAGAGGCAGCCCGAAAAGACAUUGAAAGACCAUUCAGGGUUUUGCAAUCUAGGUUUGCCAUUGUCCGUGAUCUGCUCAUUUUUGGGACAAGCGGACCUCGAAGAAUAUCAUGA
rnacentral:rRNA from 1 species